GAUGAAGAACGUAGCGAAAUGCGAUAAGUAAUGUGAAUUGCAGAAUUCAGUGAAUCAUCGAAUCUUUGAACGCACCUUGCACUCCUUGGUAUUCCGAGGAGUACGCCUGUUCGAGUGUUAUGAAGCUCUCAAAACGCAAUUGGCUUAAAACCUGAUUGUUGUUUUGGAUUUGAACUUUGCCGUGUUAUAACGGCUGGUUUUAAAAGUAUUAGCUGGUACUAGAACGAAUUGGUUCUACUCAACGUGAUAAUUAUCUGAUCGUUGAGGACAUUCCUUUCACGAGGAAUGGCCAUAGUAAAUUCAAUGGACUGCUUCUAAUCUGGCUUUAAUUCUUUAUUGGAUAAACCACUUUUCAAAUCUGACCUCGAAUCAGGUGGGACUACCCGCUGAACUUAAGCAUAUCAAUAAGCGGAGGA
rnacentral:misc_RNA from 1 species